UGUGCCAGCAGGCCGGCGCCAGAUACGUGGUGUUCACCACGAAGCAUCACGAAGGCUUCACCAACUGGGGCUCCCCUGUGUCCUGGAACUGGAAUUCGGUGGACACGGGACCCCAUCGAGACUUAGUGGGCGAACUGGGAGAUGCUCUCAGAAAAAGGAACAUACGUUACGGCCUGUACCAUUCUCUUUUUGAGUGGUUUCAUCCCCUCUACUUAAUAGACAAAAAGAAUGGCUUCAAGACCCAGUUCUUUGUCUCCGAGAAGACAAUGCCGGAGCUUUAUGAACUGGUUUUAAGGUACAAGCCGGAUCUGAUCUGGUCUGAUGGAGAAUGGGAGGCUCCGGAUACUUACUGGAACUCAACUGCUUUCCUUGCCUGGCUUUACAACGACAGUCCUGUCAAGGUAUCUAAACCCGCUUCAAACUGGCUGUACA